UACGUAGGUGGCAAGCGUUGUCCGGAUUUACUGGGCGUAAAGGGCGUGCAGGCGGUUUGUUAAGUCUAGGGUGAAAUCCCCCAGCUCAACUGGGGAAGUGCCUCCGAUACUGGCCGUCUCGAGGGGGAUAGGGGCGUGCGGAACUUCCGGUGGAGCGGUGAAAUGCGUAGAUAUCGGAAGGAACACCGGUGGCGAAAGCGGCGCGCUGGAUCCCUUCUGACGCUGAGGCGCGAAAGCCAGGGGAGCGAACAGG
rnacentral:rRNA from 1 species